rnacentral:rRNA from 1 species
GGGUUGUGAGGUUAAGCGACUAAGCGUACACGGUGGAUGCCCUGGCAGUCAGAGGCGAUGAAGGACGUGCUAAUCUGCGAUAAGCGUCGGUAAGGUGAUAUGAACCGUUAUAACCGGCGAUUUCCGAAUGGGGAAACCCAGUGUGUUUCGACACACUAUCAUUAACUGAAUCCAUAGGUUAAUGAGGCGAACCGGGGGAACUGAAACAUCUAAGUACCCCGAGGAAAAGAAAUCAACCGAGAUUCCCCCAGUAGCGGCGAGCGAACGGGGAGCAGCCCAGAGCCUGAAUCAGUGUGUGUGUUAGUGGAAGCGUCUGGAAAGGCGCGCGAUACAGGGUGACAGCCCCGUACACAAAAAUGCACAUGCUGUGAGCUCGAUGAGUAGGGCGGGACACGUGGUAUCCUGUCUGAAUAUGGGGGGACCAUCCUCCAAGGCUAAAUACUCCUGACUGACCGAUAGUGAACCAGUACCGUGAGGGAAAGGCGAAAAGAACCCCGGCGAGGGGAGUGAAAAAGAACCUGAAACCGUGUACGUACAAGCAGUGGGAGCACGCUUAGGCGUGUGACUGCGUACCUUUUGUAUAAUGGGUCAGCGACUUAUAUUCUGUAGCAAGGUUAACCGAAUAGGGGAGCCGAAGGGAAACCGAGUCUUAACUGGGCGUUAAGUUGCAGGGUAUAGACCCGAAACCCGGUGAUCUAGCCAUGGGCAGGUUGAAGGUUGGGUAACACUAACUGGAGGACCGAACCGACUAAUGUUGAAAAAUUAGCGGAUGACUUGUGGCUGGGGGUGAAAGGCCAAUCAAACCGGGAGAUAGCUGGUUCUCCCCGAAAGCU